rnacentral:rRNA from 1 species
AUUGAACGCUGGCGGCAGGCCUAACACAUGCAAGUCGAGCGAGAGGCGGACGGGUGAGUAAUGUCUGGGAAACUGCCUGAUGGAGGGGGAUAACUACUGGAAACGGUAGCUAAUACCGCAUACCAUCAGAUGUGCCCAGAUGGGAUUAGCUAGUAGGUGGGGUACUGGCUCACCUAGGCGACGAUCCCUAGCUGGUCUGAGAGGAUGACCAGCCACACUGGGACUGAGACACGGUCCAGACUCCUACGGGAGGCAGCAGUGGGGAAUAUUGGACAAUGGGCGAAAGGCUGAUGGAGCCAUGCCGCGUGUAUGAAGAAGGCCUUCGGGUUGUAAAGUACUUUUAGCAGGGAAGCGUUACCCGACGAAGAAGCCCCGGCUAACUCCGUGCCAGCAGCCGCGGUAAUUC